rnacentral:rRNA from 1 species
CUUUCAACAACGGAUCUCUUGGGUUUCUGGGCA